rnacentral:rRNA from 1 species
AUUGAACGCUGGCGGCAGGCCUAAUACAUGCAAGUCGAGCGAGCGGCGGACGGGUGAGUAAUGUAUGGGGACUGCCCGAUAGAGGGGGAUAACUACUGGAAACGGUAGCUAAUACCGCAUACUAUCGGAUAACCCAUAUGGGAUUAGCUAGUAGGUGAGGUAAUGGCUCGCCUAGGCGACGAUCCCUAGCUGGUCUGAGAGGAUGAUCAGCGAAACUGGGACUGAGACACGGCCCAGACUCCUACGGAGGGAGAAGUGGGGAAUAUGGCACAAUGGGCGCAAGCCUGAUGCAACCAUGCCGCGUGUAUGAAGAAGGCCCUAGGGUUGUAAAGUACUUUCAGUCGGGAGGCGUUACCGACAGAAGAAGCACCGGCUAACUCCGUGCCAGACGCCGCGGUAAUAC